rnacentral:rRNA from 1 species
AUUGAACGCUGGCGGCGCGCUUAACACAUGCAAGUCGAGCGAAGCGGCGGACGGGUGAGUAAUGCCUAGGAAUCUGCAUGGUAGUGGGGGAUAACGUCCGGAAACGGGCGCUAAUACCGCAUACUAUCAGAUGAGCCUAGGUCGGAUUAGCUAGUGGGUGGGGUAAAGGCCUACCAAGGCGACGAUCCGUAACUGGUCUGAGAGGAUGAUCAGUCACACUGGAACUGGGCCACGGUCCAGCCUCCUACGUGAGGCAGCAGUGGGGAAUAUUGGACAAUGGGCGAAAGCCUGAUCCAGCCAUGCCGCGUGUGUGAAGAAGGUCUUCGGAUUGUAAAGCACUUUAAGUUGGGAGGCGUUACCAACAGAAUAAGCACCGGCUAACUUCUUGCCAGCAGCCGCGUAAUAC